GUAGGUGGCAAGCGUUGUCCGGAAUUAUUGGGCGUAAAGCGCGCGCAGGCGGUUCGUUUAAGUCUGAUGUGAAAGCCCACGGGCUCAACCGUGGAGGGUCAUUGGAAACUGGAGAACUUGAGUACAGAAGAGGAAAGCGGAAUUCCACGUGUAGCGGUGAAAUGCGUAGAGAUGUCGGGGGAACACCAGUGGCGAAGGCGGCUUUCUGGUCUGUAACUGACGCUGAGGCGCGAAAGCGUGGGGAGCAAACAGGAUUAGAUACCCUGGUAGUCCACGCCGUAAACGAUGAGUGCUAAGUGUUACGGGGGUUUCCGCCCCUUAGUGCUGCAGCUAACGCAUUAAGCACUCCGCCUGGGGAGUACGGCCGCAAAGGCUG
rnacentral:rRNA from 1 species